rnacentral:tRNA from 1 species
UCCCUGGUGGCUUAGAUGGUAAAGAACUGCCUGCGAUGCAGAAGACCCAGGUUCAAUCCCUGGGCUGAGAA